AAGUCGUAACAAGGUUUCCGUAGGUGAACCUGCGGAAGGAUCAUUAACAAAUUCAUCCAUUUGACCCUUUGUGAACUGGCGAGUUGCGCGUGGGUCCUCUUCGGGGGGCGUGCGAGCGCUUGCGUGCGUUGGAAGCCGUGCCGCAAGGCCCAGUGACCGCGCAUCAUAAACGCUGUUUUAGUUUGGCUUACGUGCGUGCGCCUGCAAGGGUGUGCGAAUCAACCAAAAUAAAGACAACUUUUAACAAUGGAUCUCUUGGCUCUU
rnacentral:misc_RNA from 1 species